CACGUAGGCGGACUGAUCAGUCAGGGGUGAAAUCCCGGGGCUCAACCCCGGAACUGCCUUUGAUACUGUCAGCCUUGAGUCCGAGAGAGGUGAGUGGAACUCCGAGUGUAGAGGUGAAAUUCGUAGAUAUUCGGAAGAACACCAGUGGCGAAGGCGGCUCACUGGCUCGGUACUGACGCUGAGGUGCGAAAGCGUGGGGAGCAAACA
rnacentral:rRNA from 1 species